GACGAACGCUGGCGGCGUGCUUAACACAUGCAAGUCGAACGAUGAAGAAGAGAAACGCGAACUUCGGUUCAAAUUUCACUUCUGAUUAGUGGCAGACGGGUGAGUAACGCGUGAGCAACCUACCUCUUACAAAGGGAUAGCCUCGGGAAACCGUGAUUAAUACCAUAUGACACAUUCAUAAGGCAUCUUAAGAAUGUUAAAGCUACGGCGGUAAGAGAUGGGCUCGCGUCCCAUUAGCUAGUUGGUGAGGUAACGGCCCACCAAGGCGACGAUGGGUAACCGGACUGAGAGGGGGAACGGUCACAUUGGAACUGAGACAAGGUUCAAACUCCUACGGGAGGCAGCAGUGGGUACUAUUGCACAAUGGAGGGAACUCUGAUGCAGCGACGCCGCGUGAGCGAUGAAGGAAUUCGUUUCGUAAAGCUCUGUUCUAUGGGAAGAAAAGGACUGUACCAUAGGAGAAAGCCCCGGCUAAAUACGUG
rnacentral:rRNA from 1 species